rnacentral:rRNA from 1 species
CCUACGGGGGGCUGCAGUGAGGAAUAUUGGUCAAUGGCCGGAAGGCUGAACCAGCCAUGCCGCGUGAAGGGCAGGGACCUAUGGGCGUUAAACUUCUUUUGUGCGGGAGCAAUAAUGGUCACGUGUGGCCAGACGAGAGUACCGUACGAAUAAGCAUCGGCUAACUCCGUGCCAGCAGCCGCGGUAAUACGGGGGAUGCAAGCGUUAUCCGGAUUUAUUGGGUUUAAAGGGUGCGUAGGCUGUGAGGUAAGUCAGCGGGGAAAUGCCCCCGCGCAACGGGGUGAAGUGCCAUUGAUAAUGCCUUGCUGGAAUGCGGAUGCGGUGGGAGGAAUGUGUGGUGUAGCGGUGAAAUGCAUAGAUAUCACACAGAACACCGAUUGCGAAGGCAUCUCACGAAUCCGCGAUUGACGCUGAUGCACGAAAGCGUGGGUAUCAAACAGGAUUAGAUACACCUGUAGUC